GAUCAUGGCUCAGGACGAACGCUGGCGGCGCGCCUAACACAUGCAAGUCGAACGGAGAUACCUGUUAGAUCCCUUCGGGGUGACGAUGGACUAUCUUAGUGGCGGACGGGUGAGUAACACGUGAGCAACCUGCCUUACAGAGUGGGAUAACGUUUGGAAACGAACGCUAAUACCGCAUAACAUUAACUUAUCGCAUGGUAAGAUAAUCAAAGAAAUUCGCUGUAAGAUGGGCUCGCGU
rnacentral:rRNA from 1 species